rnacentral:rRNA from 1 species
UACGGAGGGUGCAAACGUUGCUCGGAAUCACUGAGCGUAAAGCGCACGUAGGCGGUCCGAUAAGUCGGAUGUGAAAGCCCUGGGCUCAACCUAGGAAGUGCAUUCGAAACUGUCGGACUUGAGUACGGGAGAGGGUUGCGGAAUUCCCGGUGUAGAGGUGAAAUUCGUAGAUAUCGGGAGGAACACCAGUGGCGAAGGCUGCAGCCUGGACCGAUACUGACGCUGAGGUGCGAAAGCGUGGGGAGCAAACAGG